rnacentral:rRNA from 1 species
CAGGCCUACGGGACGCAGCAGUGGGGAAUAUUGGGCAAUGGGCGCAAGCCUGACCCAGCAACGCCGCGUGAAGGAAGAAGGCUUUCGGGUCGUAAACUUCUUUUCUCAGGGACGAAGCAAGUGACGGUACCUGAGGAAUAAGCCACGGCUAACUACGUGCCAGCAGCCGCGGUAAUACGUAGGUGGCAAGCGUUAUCCGGAUUUACUGGGUGUAAAGGGCGUGUAGGCGGGAAAGCAAGUCAGAUGUGAAAACCACGGACUCAACCUGUGGCCUGCAUUUGAAACUGGUUUUCUUGAGUACUGGA